CGGAAGUGACGAUUUCCAACGCAUUUGAUGACGGUGUGGAGGGGAGCAAGAGGUAUCAGUCAGGUUUGUGCAGAAUUUGAGACAUCCAGAAUUACCAUAGGCCCAUUAGAAUCAACAAUCUUUGCCAAACUUGAUUCGGACUGCAAAAUUUACGAAGAUGUUUUCAUACUGAAGAAGAGACCUUGGACAAAUACUGAAACCCUCUUGGUGCCCACUACACAGGCAGGGGUGUCCAGACCUGCUCUAGGAAAGCCAGUGUUCUGUGGGGUUCAGCUCUAACACA